AUGGAGGCGGCGAUAAUCGGCGCGCUGCUGAAGACCACGCUGCCGAAGGCCCUCUCGGCGCUGGGCGGGAGCAGGGACGUGCGGUCCAUCCAGUCGGAGCUCAGGUACAUCGAGGCCACCAUCCAAGACCACCGCAAGAAGACCGGCGGCCGGGACACGAGCCACCUGCGGGCGGCGUGGAUCCGGGACCUCACGCUCUUCGCCUUCGACAUCGAGGACUGCGUCGACCGCUUCCUGCGGCAGGAGAUGCCGCCGGAGGACGGCGAGGCCGGCUUCCUCCGCCGCUCCGCCCGCGCCGCCAGGAGCACGGUGUUCACCCGCACGUUGUUCUCCCUCAGGAUCCGCAAGCUCAAGGCCAGAUCCGAGGAGAUUCACCGGCGCCUGAAGCGCUACAUCGAGGAGGAGACGGCGGAGGCGACGACGCCAGACUGCGGCGCGGCGUCGGUCCCUUCUGCUCGAUGCGGUGCUCCGGCGGCGGCCGUGGGGAUGGACGAGCCUCUUGGGGAGCUUCUUGAGCUCGUCCGGGAGCCUGGGACGCCGUCAGAGGGGAAGCUCAGGGUGAUCUCCGUCGUCGGCUUCCAUGGCAUGGGCAAGACUCUUCUUGCCCACCAGGUGUUUGAUCACGGCGAUGUGCGCCGCCUGUUCCCUAUGCGCGUUUGGGUUUGCGCGGCGGGCAAGGGCACGCCGGAGGUUCUCAAGGAGAUGCUCGAUCAAGUGCUCCAGAGUGGUGCGGGCACCUCCGCCGAUGGUGCCCGGCAGGUUGACUCUGCACCUGUGGCCACGACGACCACUUCCAACGCCAACGGCGCCGUCCCAGAGGUUGAGGAAAAUGGUGUUGAGCAAGUCCAGAAUGGUGAGAGUGCCUCAGUCAGUGUUGCCCACGGCAUCAGUACAUGGCGCCAGUGCCUCCAAGCAGUUUGGUGGACUCUGGCGACGAUAAUGCUGUACAUCUUGUCCCCGGCGUUCACCGUGGCGAACAUGGUGCAAGCCUCUUCUCUCCAAGUUGAGUCUGCAGACAUGCAUAGCGCUACUGCAAAUGCGAGUAUCUCCACAAGCACCAAGAUCGUUGCACAAGUUGAUGGGAACAAGAAUGUCCAGAUGAAGAGGCAAGCUGACAGGGGCAAGGCUAUUCAGGAGGGCACUCACGCUCACCAGGACGCUGUAGAUGAUACGACGCUCAUCGAACAACGUCUAGGAUCAUACCUGAAGAAUAAAAGGUAUUUGAUUGUAAUUGAUGGCAUGCAAACAGAAGAGUUGUGCAACAUAACAUCUGUAUUCCCUGUGGAUGACGGAGUGGACAGCAGAGUUAUUGUGACGACAACCAUUAAGAAAAUAGCAAGACGCUGCAGCUCUGCCAAUGGCCGUGUGUACAAAAUGAAAACACUUGACGACAAUGAUUCAAGAAAGCUGUUCUUCGAAGUAUUUUCCAAGGGUAAAUAUUCAGUUGCAGAUGCAACGGAGUUGAAAGCAUCUGCCCUCCUGGAGAAAUGUGGCGGCCUACCGCUUGCCCUUGAAAGCAAAGCAAAGUUUCUGAAGAGUGAGGAAGACCUGACAAAGAGUAAAUGUGAAGAUGCCUGCCGCAAGCUUUGUGCUCCAGAAAGAUGUGAUGACACAUUGGGAAGAAUGCAUGGGGUUCUCGCCAGCAGCUACGAGAGUCUAUGUAGCCUUGUUCUCCAGCAGUGCUUGCUAUAUUUCUGUAUGUUCCCGCGUGGCCAUCGUGUCAGGCGGAAUCCUCUAAUCAGGCGGUGGCUGGCGGAAGGACUUGUGCAUGUACAACCAGGGGAUGCAGUGAGCACAACACCCCAAGACAUCGCAAUUGAGAAUUUGGAGACCCUGAUUGACCGCAGUAUCAUUCAGUCCACGGAAGUGAGCACCUGUGGGCAUGUGAAGAGAUGCCAACCUCCUGGGAUGAUGCUCGAGUACAUUGUCCGCAAGUCCAUGUCUCAAAAUUUCAUCACCUUGCUUUGUGGUGAGAGUGAGACGACCGGAGAAUGGGACUACGUUCGCCGACUUUCUCUCCAUGAUUACUGUGCUGAAAAACUGCCCAAGGGCUUAUCUCGUCUGCGGACCCUGGCGGUAUUCCCUACCGGGGAUGCUGCUAAACACGGACCUACAUUGAAUUUUGCCAAGUAUGACCUACUGCGAGUGUUGGAUUUAGAAGAAUGUGAUGGUCUGAAUGACGGGCACCUCCAGAACAUAUGCAACCUUGUGUUUCUGAAAUAUCUGAGCCUCGGGGGGCGCAUUAGUGAGGUUCCAAAGAAAAUUGCCAAGCUGCAAUGGUUGGAGACACUGGACCUGAGAAGAACAAAGAUAGAGAAGGUGCCCAUAGAAGUCAUCCAGCUCCCCCAAUUAAAACAUCUCCAUGGCAAAUUUCAGCUUAUUGAAGGUGACUGCGGAAAGAUAAAUCCAGAGUACUUGUCUAAGAGAUGUACCCUGGAGACACUUUCAGGAUUUGUUACAGGAGAGAGCGAAGGAUUUCCACAGCUGAUGAGGCACAUGAAGCGGCUGAGGAAGGUGAAAAUAUGGUGUGAAUCCACCGCAAGCAGAAGAAACCUGAACCAACUUGAAGAAGCCAUUAAGGUGUUCAUUCGUGAUGGGAACGAAUGGCCUCAUCGCUCCCUAUGCAUUGACUUCCAAGAAUGCUCAGACCCAUUCUUGGGUUCUCUGAAGGCCCCUGGCAGUCUUGCCUCGCUGAAGCUGCGCGGCAAACUCAGCGGAUUCCCUCAGUUUGUUACGAAGCUGAACAGAAUCGAGGAGCUGUGUCUGUCGUCGACUAACCUAAGCCGGGGUGUUCUUCUAUCUGGGAGUCGUCUGGAUACACUUAAGUAUCUGAAGCUGAUCGAAGACAACAUCGGGCCUCUCGAAAUACGCCACGAGCACUUCCCAAGCAUCCGGCGCAUAUGGCUCGUCGGCGUGAAAAGUCUGCACUCUGUAACGACCGGAGCUCUGCCACAUCUUACUUCGCUUCAUAUGAUCUGUGAAUCUUUAGAUGGUCUUGCUGGCAUCGAAAUCAGACGCCUAGAAGGAUUAAAGGAAAUCAGGCUGCAUUCUGCAGUCGAUCAAGGAACAAAAGAUGCAUGGAAGAAAACUGCAAGGAGCCACCCGAAAAGGCCUGACGUUCUUCUUCACUGA
rnacentral:rRNA from 1 species